UAUAAUAUACUGCUACCACUAAAUCGCACGAGCAUAAACCUCCACUUGCUACAACUUUCGAUGCUACCAAGUAUGUUGGCAACAUACAAUCGCUGACUCGAAAUUAUUGUAAACUUAAAUAAGGCUAGACAAAAAUUCAACUGGCAUUAUCAGCAAACUGCUCGCAAUUUAUUUGACUCAUUUUAAAAAAAGUAUAAAAUACUAAUGCAUUAAAUUAUCGUUUUUUUAAUAGAUUAGUGACUAUUUUUCAUGAUAGCAACAAAUACACAUGUAACAUUUUAUGUCCGACUUAAUCACUGUAUGCAAAUACAUAACAUCAGUUCGAUGUACAACUGUUCAUAAUUUGACAUCUUUCUACAUUACUAAGUCACCAUCUCGUACUGUUACUAUCAGCCAUCUGUAUUUAAAGGAAACAACAUUAAAUGCAACUGACUAAAUACAAAUCUGUCUCAAACAUCCACUAGAAAUAAAUACAGUCAUUAUUAACAUCAUUUGACUCUUAACUAUACCGGAAAUAAUAUUCAAUCGAAAUACUUUUCGACUCGAAAGAACUGGUUGUUAGGACGAAAAGAUGGCACCCCAAUUUACUAAAAUCAGUGAAUUUAGCGUUUAUCCUCACGGCAGUAAUGAGUGCCAUCUAUACUUGGGAGCUUGUAGGUUAGACAGAGGUUGUUUGCCUGUUAAAAUCAAAGAUUAUUGUUUAUAUAACACUAUUAUUACGAUAAAUGUUUAUAAUCAUUUUUAAUGGAAAAUUAAUAUAAUUUAACAGACAAUAACUUGACGAUAUUGAAAUGGAAGACUUAUUUAAUAAAUUUGACUUUCACAACCCAUUUGAUGGAUUAAGGAGGUUCAUCGGUAGCAGUAGUUCGCAAUGUUUAGAAAGAUUUCUCCCGUGUGAAACAUUCUAACUACAAUAAGAAGUGUUUGAGACAGUGCAGCCAGAUCGCGGACGAAAAGUUCCCCUUCCCAAGCACUGUUUAAGCUGUAAGUGAUGCUAAAAUGGUGCGAAAAAGGGGGAAUUUUCGUCCGCGUUCUGGCUGCACUGGUUUGAAAUACACUACGCUUUUGCGCAUCCUCUUAUAUGCGCAGAAGUAAAAAAAUGAUCCCAUUGCGUCUUUUUUCAGACUUAGCUACGUUGCAUUCUAACUAGUCUUGGGCCUAAUCGGUCACCACUGAGAGCGCUCAAUUUAGUUCAUAAUCCAAUGGCGAACUAGUUCGUUCUUUUAGUUCAUUAGUUCUUUUGUUUAAAUAAUUUAAUAAAAACAAUAAAUAGGAAAAAAAUAUAUUUAUGAUUAAUGCUGGUUCUGUUUAUUUAUGGAACAUAAAAUUUUUUAUUUAAAUAAGAAUGAAAAAAUAAAAGAAUUUAUAUUAAUAAUUAGUCAACAGCUAGUCUCGUUUCUAGUAUAAUGCGUAAUUAUAUUACAAUACUUAAAAAAUGCUAAUUAUUACAAUUAAAGUUGACAUUUUUUUAUAGCACAUCAAAUCUUUUACUUAAGUAAAAAUGAAAAAAUUCAAUAAUUUAUAUUAAUCAUUAGUCAACAGCUAGUCUCGUUGAGUAAUGAUCUAAUAUAUAAAAAUAGUCUCUCGCAAUAUCAAGGCGCGCACAGAAAAAGUAAAUAACUCGGUUGGUCACAUAGCGCCAGUGUCUAGUUAAACCGACGCUAAAAAAAAUAUAAAAAGAACUAAGAGCGAGAUCAUCGACGAACUAGUUCGCAUAGUUCACCUAAAGGAGCGCUCUUCCGACCUAGGUCGUUCGCGAACUACCCAAGACUAAUUCUAACUUAGAAUAUUUUUCCCCUUGGACAUGUGUUGUAGAAAGUGUUUUGAAUAAUUUCGAGGUUAUACAUAGUUGGAGACAACAAAUAAUAAAUAAUAAUGACUUCGCGAUUAAAUUUAAAAAAUUUUAAAUUUGAAAAAUAAUUUAUAAUUAUUAUAAUCUGUUGGGCUUCCUCUGUGUUUUAAACUCUCCGCGCACUGCAACGUUGCCAAGUCACUAUCUCUCACUUGUCAGGUUAUAGGAGAAAGCUUGAAAAUCAUUAAAAGUAACAAACUUUAAAAAUUAAUUACAAAAAAAUGAAUACCGCUCGUUUAUGUUUUUAUUGAAAAAAAUUACUUCUUAUAAAUUGAAUUAAUAAUUUUCAGCUUUUAAAAAAAUGUUGUAAGAAAAGUAUGAUUGUUAUUUCAUAAAAUGCUCACUCUAACUAUGGUCAACAUAAGGAAUGCAUGUUGUUAAAUGUACGAUUUUUAAUUGUUAAUAUUUCAAAAUUUAGUACCGCAAGAACUAUUUUAAAAAAUUCCUACGUAUACAGGACACUUCAAAGUAUUUGUAUUUAAAAAUUGAAAGAUAUUGUAAGAAAAGUGAUUAUCCGAGGAACCUCCUUAAAGAAUUUAAAUCAAUGUAUCUAAAGAAUGCAGUGAAUAUGUAGAGCCUGAAGAAAUACCACUUGGUUACAGAAUGAAGAACGUAUUUGAUCGAAAAACUCGUAUAUGUUGAUUUUAUUUUCAUUAACGGCUUACUAUAUGAUCAUGAUAUAAAUAUUUGUAUUUUUUAAUGUGCAUUAAUCAAUAAAUACUGAUUUUUCUCCGCAUCAAAAACUGAA